GCCAAGCGGCUGGCUGCUUGCCUCGAGCGCUUCUCUUACUUGUAUUCUCCCUCAAUUAUUGAUCACAAUUGACCGUUUUUGUGUACUUGUGGAGUGAAAUCGUCCCGGCACGCAACAGGUGAGGAAGUCACAUGCGAUAGCGCUGUUCUUUUGCACCUCGUGGAAGACGUGACGAUGCUGGCAAAGUGGCAAAGAAAAACAUUUGGGACUAGAACCGAUUCAACGGGAGUGGAGGCAACGAGAUGGCGAUGCGAUGGAGGCGGCGCGUUGGUGGCUUCUAAAUGUGCCGUCGCUGCUAACCUAUCAGUAGGAUUCCACGCUUGAUUUAUGUAGAGGACGUGAGCUGUCCAUUGAUGACAUUGAGUUAUUGUAAAGUGUCUCCAACCAAGCAAAAGCCUUCGUCUCGGCACAAAGAGAAUGCCGGGCCAGGCGUGGUUGUCGACGUGGAGUCUGCGAAGACGCUUCGUCUUUAGGUAGGUGGCCACCGUGAGGGGAGGGGAAGUGAGUGAGCCCCGGCGUAGCUCCAACGACGACAAGCAAGUGGAAGAAGAAUUUGGUCGAGCGUCCAGCAGCGGUGUGGAAGACUAGUGAUUUUGUUGUUUUGUCUGGCAAACGACAGCAAAUCAUGGUCUCCCGCACUGCCACCUUGGUGACAACACCCGCCUGCCACGGCCAGCAUCAAAUCAGCAGCAGCUUUUUUGCCGCACUUUUUCCUCUCGGAUCAAUGCAAAGUGGAGCCUGCCUGCCUAUUGAUCCAACAGACACACUAACGCUAACUGAUAUUUAUCUUUGGUAUUGUUUGUUUGUUUGUUUGUUUGUUUGUUUGUUUGUUUAGAUUUGCGUACACAUUCUGCAAAUUUGAAGUGAUUCUUAUAUUAAGGUCCUUCUUGUCACAGCAAAGUGACACCAUUGUGGGGGAAAAUAUUUGUAUUAAAGCUUACGUAUCACGGUAAUAAAUUCUACUGGUUUACAUUUUA